UACAGAGGGUGCAAGCGUUAAUCGGAAUUACUGGGCGUAAAGCGUGCGUAGACGGUUAUGUAAGUCAGAUGUGAAAGCCCCGGGCUCAACCUGGGAAUUGCAUUUGAGACUGCAUAGCUAGGGUGCGGAAGAGGGAGGCGGAAUUUCCGGUGUAGCGGUGAAAUGCGUAGAUAUCGGAAGGAACACCAGUGGCGAAAGCGGCUUCCUGGUCCAGCACCGACGUUCAGGCACGAAAGCGUGGGGAGCAAACAGG
rnacentral:rRNA from 1 species